CCUCCAGAGUGUGAGGUCAUUUCAGAGCUGAAGGAGUUUUCCUUAAUGUCUAUGCCUGUUGAGUUUAGGAGGAGGAAAAAGCUGUUGGGGGGGGCAAUGAGGUGUUAAGUUUUGGGUCCAGCAUCAGUUGAAUGAGGAAGACCCAAAUAAUGCAGUCUGGGUCCGGCAUCAAUUGAAGGGAGAGGACACAGAUGAUACAACAAUGGGGUAGGAGCCACUAUACCAGAUGUGCACAGAUCAGGACCAGUAGAGAAACAUCAGUCUCACCCCUCGGAUGGGCAUUUUCUUUUCCAUGUCUUCACGGGAGGCUCAGAGAGCUAAGAUGUAUCAGAUGUCUGACAUCGCCACGGUCAGCAUCUCCUUUGCCUCGGGCGGCUCGGACGUCUGCGGCUCCGUCCUCAUCACCUCCCUCGGCUCCGAUGUCUCCCUCGUCUCCGGCUCCCCCAGCUCCAUCAGGUCUGUGUCCCAUCAGUUUAAGGCAGACAAGAAUCUCACAGCACCAACCCCUUUCAGUGCACAGCUCGGGGUAGGAUGACUUGAGGGAGAAUCUGACUGGGUAUUACUUUCUAAACAGUGUGGCUGUGCGACACAUCAUCCUGGCCUUGAGGACCAUCCCCUUGCAGUGUGGGUACAAUCAAUUCUCAGAUUUGCCCCACCAUUGAGCAAAGGGUCACGUUGACCCCACAAAGGAAAGUGUAUAUAUGUGUCUGAUGGGGUUAGCUUUUGGGAUGGCAUAGUGAAGCAGGGGUUGCCAGUCUUGGUACAGAAGCUGAUUCUGGCAACUGAGGUUCUGUGCGGAGAACUGGCUCUGGAUGUGACUGUGGGACUGAGAAGACUCAGGGCCCUUAAUUCCAUAGGAUGGGUCAUCUCUUCCUAUGUCACCAGUUUUGUACUCAGAUUCACAUCCCCUGCACAUCCUCAGAAUUUGGAAGAGGGACCCCUCUGCCUCUGACAAUGAUGGCUUCUGGAGAUCUAGUGUCAGGGGCACGACAGGGUAGCAUCAGUUAUCCACUCCACUGAUGCCUGAGAAGCAGAACCUUGAGGGACUCCUGUCUGAGUCCAAGGCAACAGGGGUGUGGAUUGGGAGAAGAGCAGCGAAACUUGGUACUAAAAGGUGACUUGUGCAGUUGUGCCGGACUUCCAGUUCCUGGGGAAGCAGCCCCUCCUGGAGUAACAGAGCUGGGG
rnacentral:lncRNA from 1 species